AUUGAACGCUGGCGGCAGGCCUAACACAUGCAAGUCGAACGAGUGGCGGACGGGUGAGUAAUGUCUGGGAAACUGCCUGAUGGAGGGGGAUAACUACCGGCAACGGUAGCUAAUACCGCAUACCAUCAGAUGUGUCCAGAUGGGCUUAGCUUGUUGGUGGGGUAACGGCUCACAAGGGCGACGAUCCCUAGCUGGUCUGAGAGGAUGACCAGCAACACUGGAACGGGGACACGGUCCAGACUCCUACGGGAGGCAGCAGUGGGGAAUAUUGCACAAUGGGCGCAAGCCUGAUGCAGCCAUGCCGCGUGUAUGAAGAAGGCCUUCGGGUGGUAAAGUACUUUCAGCGGGGAGGCGUUACCCGCAGAAGAAGCACCGGCUAACUCCGUGCCAGCCGCCGCGGUAAUUC
rnacentral:rRNA from 1 species